AUUUUCAUCCAUCCAUCCAUUACUGUUUACAUCUCCAGAAUUAAUUUUUUCAAUUCGAAAAGGCGACAUAUCAGCUACAAACAAUUAUAACUCCCAAGGUUGGAUGUCCUGGACUUGCAACCGGAUUGUUAUCUUUCUCAUCUACAUCGGCACCUUUGUGACCUUCCCUAUCACAGGAUGGUUUGUACUGAAAACGGUGUCUAACUACCAGAGGAUGGUAGUGUUUCGUCUGGGGCGAGUUUGUCCUCCAAAGGGCCCUGGGAUUGUCCUCGUGCUGCCUCUCAUUGACCAGUGGCAGAAAGUUGACCUGUGUUUCCUGUGCUUUCAACAUCCUGCCUUGCCAGGUAAACAACCAACAGACUAAAUGA